UUCAUUCCUUCAGUGUUGAAACAAUCUCUACUGAACCAGGCUCCAAACCAAGUUCACUGGAGUUUGUUUCAAUAUUGCAAGAAUGAUAAAAUUGAAGC
rnacentral:pre_miRNA from 17 species